rnacentral:rRNA from 1 species
CAGUAGCCGCGGGAAUACGAAGGGGGCAAGCGUUGUUCGGGUUUACUGGGCGUAAAGCGUACGUAGGCGGAUAUUUAAGUCAGGGGUGAAAUCCCGAGGCUCAACCUCGGAACUGCCUUUGAUACUGGGUAUCUUGAGUCCGAGAGAGGUGAGUGGAACUCCUAGUGUAGAGGUGAAAUUCGUAGAUAUUAGGAAGAACACCAGUGGCGAAGGCGGCUCACUGGCUCGGAACUGACGCUGAGGUACGAAAGCGUGGGGAGCAAACAGGAUUAGAUACCCCAGUAGUCCCUGUCUCUUAUAU